rnacentral:tRNA from 1 species
CUAAAAGAAAGUUCUAUGAAUUUUCUCUUUGUUAAUGAGAAGGGGUAACUUUUGUUUUAUUUAGU